GCUGCUGAGAGGCAAGGCACAGAGUCCUGUUUCAACUUGAGUUGCGAGUUUCCUGUGCCGCCGCCUCUGCUGUACGCUCGGACUCUGGGUGGGGGAGGGGCAAGGAGCCGAGGGCCCCUGCUGCCGGCUGUUCAAGACGCUCACUAGACAGGCUCAGGCGUCCUCUCCCUCAAGCCUGCUUUUGCCUGGCCAGCCACUGGUCCUACCAUCUGCUGGGAGAAAAGAUGCUGGCUGAGAAGACUGACAGGCUGUCGGUUCUGCUAAAGAAGGAGUGGUUGGAGACAGUCAUAACAUCAACAGCGAUUGACUGUGACUGCUGGACACCCAUGUACUUGGUACCCUCUAUGUCCUGAGUUCAAAUCCCAGCAACCACAUGGAGACUCACAACCAUCCGUAAUGACAUCUGAUGCCCUCUUCUGGUGUGUCUGAAGACAGCUACAGUGUAUUU